GAGCAAAAGUGUCAGUGAACAAUUAUGGCGUGUUUUGUAUUGAAGAUUGGUGAAAACAACACAUGGAGACUCUCCGUGCCUGUCAAAUUGAUUGUGUUGUUUUGAUUGUGGCCUCGAACAAGUCUCUACAUC